AACACUAAAUCCAUGUUAUGGCCAGAAGUCUGGUUUUUUUUUCUUCGGGUGACGUCGAGUGUGAACACAAGUGUCUUCGAAGUUUCCCGGUGUUUUAAUUAAUAUUAUUUGUUUAAAUUGCUGUUGACUUGCGCUACUGAUUCGUGUUGGUGUUGGUAUAUAUCUGUUGUGCCGUGAGUGUAAAUAUAUUGUGUUUGUUAUAUUAUUAAAAGGUUAGUAAUUCAACAGUUGAUUACUUUGUAAAAUAAUAAUAAUUAAAAUUGAUGUGA